rnacentral:rRNA from 1 species
GACGUAGGGCGCGAGCGUUGUCCGGAUUUAUUGGGCGUAAAGAGCUCGUAGGCGGCUUGUUGCGUCGACUGUGAAAACCCGCGGCUUAACUGCGGGCUUGCAGUUGAUACGGGCAGGCUAGAGUUCGGUAGGGGAGACUGGAAUUCCUGGUGUAGCGGUGAAAUGCGCAGAUAUCAGGAAGAACACCCGUGGCUAAGGCGGCUCUCUAGUACGGUACUGACGCUGAGACGCGAAAGCGUGGGGAGCGAACAGG